GAUGAACGCUGGCGGCGUGCCUAAUACAUGCAAGUCGAGCGAACAGACGAGGAGCUUGCUCCUUUGACGUUAGCGGCGGACGGGUGAGUAACACGUGGAUAACCUACCUAUAAGACUGGGAUAACUUCGGGAAACCGGAGCUAAUACCGGAUAACAUGUUGAACCGCAUGGUUCAACAGUGAAAGACGGUCUUGCUGUCACUUAUAGAUGGAUCCGCGCCGCAUUAGCUAGUUGGUAAGGUAACGGCUUACCAAGGCAACGAUGCGUAGCCGACCUGAGAGGGUGAUCGGCCACACUGAAACUGAGACACGGUCCAGACUCCUACGGGAGGCAGCAGUAGGGAAUCUUCCGCAAUGGGCGAAAGCCUGACGGAGCAACGCCGCGUGAGUGAAGAAGGUCUUCGGAUCGUAAAACUCUGUUAUUAGGGAAGAACAAAUGUGUAAGUAACUAUGCACGUCUUGACGGUACCUAAUCAGAAAGCCACGGCUAACUACGUG
rnacentral:rRNA from 1 species